AGGUCUGCCAGGUGGUCUCUACAUCUCUUCCCAUUUACUGUUGGAGGAAAAUUCUCUGAUGAUGAAUAAAUAAGGCACUGAUCUAUCAUCUAAUAGGGGAGACUAUAGCAGACAAAAAUACUUUGUUACCUGAGAGUGGACAAAGACUACGAUUGAGGUAAAGCACCAUGGGAGCAGAUUGGGUGAGUUGAACCAUAUUUCUCAGUUUUCUUGUUACUAAUAAGUUGAUCAGUUGAAAGUUAUGGAGUGCAAUUUCUACUUCUAAGUGUUCUUAAUCAAUAUUUGUAAGUCUUCAGAGUCCUAAUAUUCUUUUUCUUUUUUUCUUUUUUUUUUUUCCUUUUCUUUUUUUCGGAGCUGGGGACCGAACCCAGGGCCUUGUGCUUGCUAGGCAAGCGCUCUACCACUGAGCUAAAUACCCAACCCCUAUAAUUUUUUUUAAAAUGAGUGAGAUAUAUAGGUUAAAGCAAAGCUAAAAUAAACACUUCUUUUUGCAUUGUAUUAGUCACACAAUAUUAUUUAAUAUGCCCAACUUUGUUUGGACAAGGUAUUUAUAGUUAUAGCCUCCAGUCAGUGUAUGCUCUUUUAUUAUUGUUUUCAUUAAGAAAAUAAUACUCUGUUAUACAGCAUAUACAACAAUAAUAAUGAUGUAGUGUCCUCUCUACUCCAAAUACAUCUUUCUGAUACUCUUGCUUCAUUUUCUGAUCCCUCCACCUCAGCAAACACUCAGAUUAUAUAUGGUUGUGUCAUCAUGCCUAGUUUAAUCCAUGAUCUUAGGCACUUCUC